UACGUAGGGGGCAAGCGUUAUCCGGAUUCACUGGGCGUAAAGGGAGCGCAGGCGGCAUGGUAAGUCUGAUGUGAAAGCCCGGGGCCCAACCCCGGGAGUGCAUUGGAAACUGCCAGGCUGGAGUGUCGGAGGGGUAAGCGGAAUUCCUAGUGUAGCGGUGAAAUGCGUAGAUAUUAGGAGGAACACCAGUGGCGAAGGCGGCUUACUGGACGACUACUGACGCUGAGGCUCGAAAGCGUGGGGAGCAAACAGG
rnacentral:rRNA from 1 species